GGUUAAGCGACUAAGCGUACACGGUGGAUGCCCUGGCAGUCAGAGGCGAUGAAGGACGUGCUAAUCUGCGAAAAGCGUCGGUAAGGUGAUAUGAACCGUUAUAACCGGCGAUGUCCGAAUGGGGAAACCCAGUGUGAUUCGUCACACUAUCGUUAACUGAAUACAUAGGUUAACGAGGCGAACCGGGGGAACUGAAACAUCUAAGUACCCCGAGGAAAAGAAAUCAACCGAGAUUCCCCCAGUAGCGGCGAGCGAACGGGGAGCAGCCCAGAGUCUGAAUCAGCUUGUGUGUUAGUGGAACGGUCUGGAAAGUCCGACGGUACAGGGUGAUAGUCCCGUACACCAAAAUGCACAGGCUGUGAACUCGAAGAGUAGGGCGGGACACGUGGUAUCCUGUCUGAAUAUGGGGGGACCAUCCUCCAAGGCUAAAUACUCCUGACUGACCGAUAGUGAACCAGUACCGUGAGGGAAAGGCGAAAAGAACCCCGGCGAGGGGAGUGAAAAAGAACCUGAAACCGUGUACGUACAAGCAGUGGGAGCACCUUCGGGUGUGACUGCGUACCUUUUGUAUAAUGGGUCAGCGACUUAUAUUCUGUAGCAAGGUUAACCGUAUAGGGGAGCCGCAGGGAAACCGAGUCUUAACUGGGCGUUAAGUUGCAGGGUAUAGACCCGAAACCCGGUGAUCUAGCCAUGGGCAGGUUGAAGGUUGGGUAACACUAACUGGAGGACCGAACCGACUAAUGUUGAAAAAUUAGCGGAUGACUUGUGGCUGGGGGUGAAAGGCCAAUCAAACCGGGAGAUAGCUGGUUCUCCCCGAAAGCUAUUUAGGUAGCGCCUCGUGAACUCAUCUUCGGGGGUAGAGCACUGUUUCGGCUAGGGGGUCAUCCCGACUUACCAACCCGAUGCAAACUACGAAUACCGAAGAAUGUUAUCACGGGAGACACACGGCGGGUGCUAACGUCCGUCGUGAAGAGGGAAACAACCCAGACCGCCAGCUAAGGUCCCAAAGUCAUGGUUAAGUGGGAAACGAUGUGGGAAGGCACAGACAGCCAGGAUGUUGGCUUAGAAGCAGCCAUCAUUUAAAGAAAGCGUAAUAGCUCACUGGUCGAGUCGGCCUGCGCGGAAGAUGUAACGGGGCUAAACCAUGCACCGAAGCUGCGGCAGCGACACUAUGUGUUGUUGGGUAGGGGAGCGUUCUGUAAGCCUGCGAAGGUGACCUGUGAGGGUUGCUGGAGGUAUCAGAAGUGCGAAUGCUGACAUAAGUAACGAUAAAGCGGGUGAAAAGCCCGCUCGCCGGAAGACCAAGGGUUCCUGUCCAACGUUAAUCGGGGCAGGGUGAGUCGACCCCUAAGGCGAGGCCGAAAGGCGUAGUCGAUGGGAAACAGGUUAAUAUUCCUGUACUUGGUGUUACUGCGAAGGGGGGACGGAGAAGGCUAUGUUAGCCGGGCGACGGUUGUCCCGGUUUAAGCAUGUAGGCUGGUUAUCCAGGCAAAUCCGGAUAAUCAAGGCUGAGGUGUGAUGACGAAGCACUACGGUGCUGAAGUAACAAAUGCCCUGCUUCCAGGAAAAGCCUCUAAGCAUCAGGUAACAUCAAAUCGUACCCCAAACCGACACAGGUGGUCAGGUAGAGAAUACCAAGGCGCUUGAGAGAACUCGGGUGAAGGAACUAGGCAAAAUGGUGCCGUAACUUCGGGAGAAGGCACGCUGGUGUGUAGGUGAAGUCCCUGCGGAUGGAGCUGAGACCAGUCGAAGAUACCAGCUGGCUGCAACUGUUUAUUAAAAACACAGCACUGUGCAAACACGAAAGUGGACGUAUACGGUGUGACGCCUGCCCGGUGCCGGAAGGUUAAUUGAUGGGGUUAUCCGUAAGGAGAAGCUCUUGAUCGAAGCCCCGGUAAACGGCGGCCGUAACUAUAACGGUCCUAAGGUAGCGAAAUUCCUUGUCGGGUAAGUUCCGACCUGCACGAAUGGCGUAAUGAUGGCCAGGCUGUCUCCACCCGAGACUCAGUGAAAUUGAACUCGCUGUGAAGAUGCAGUGUACCCGCGGCAAGACGGAAAGACCCCGUGAACCUUUACUAUAGCUUGACACUGAACAUUGAGCCUUGAUGUGUAGGAUAGGUGGGAGGCUUUGAAGCGUGGACGCCAGUCUGCGUGGAGCCAACCUUGAAAUACCACCCUUUAAUGUUUGAUGUUCUAACGUUGGCCCCUUAUCGGGGUUGCGGACAGUGUCUGGUGGGUAGUUUGACUGGGGCGGUCUCCUCCCAAAGCGUAACGGAGGAGCACGAAGGUUAGCUAAUCCUGGUCGGACAUCAGGAGGUUAGUGCAAUGGCAUAAGCUAGCUUGACUGCGAGCGUGACGGCGCGAGCAGGUGCGAAAGCAGGUCAUAGUGAUCCGGUGGUUCUGAAUGGAAGGGCCAUCGCUCAACGGAUAAAAGGUACUCCGGGGAUAACAGGCUGAUACCGCCCAAGAGUUCAUAUCGACGGCGGUGUUUGGCACCUCGAUGUCGGCUCAUCACAUCCUGGGGCUGAAGUAGGUCCCAAGGGUAUGGCUGUUCGCCAUUUAAAGUGGUACGCGAGCUGGGUUUAGAACGUCGUGAGACAGUUCGGUCCCUAUCUGCCGUGGGCGCUGGAGAAUUGAGGGGGGCUGCUCCUAGUACGAGAGGACCGGAGUGGACGCAUCACUGGUGUUCGGGUUGUCAUGCCAAUGGCACUGCCCGGUAGCUAAAUGCGGAAGAGAUAAGUGCUGAAAGCAUCUAAGCACGAAACUUGCCCCGAGAUGAGUUCUCCCUGAGACUUUAAGUCUCCUGAAGGAACGUUGAAGACGACGACGUUGAUAGGCCGGGUGUGUAAGCGCAGCGAUGCGUUGAGCUAACCGGUACUAAUGAACCGUGAGGCUUAACCUU
rnacentral:rRNA from 1 species